CUGGAAAGUUGGUAGAAUAAGAAAUUCUAAGCUUUCAUGCCAAGAAAGCUGAAAUCCCAUGUGCCAUGAGAGUUAUCAACUGUGAGAGUAUUGUAGUUCCAAGAAAUUUCAGAUAUCUAAAUGCAUGACCAGAGUCCCAUUCAUAACAUCUCAUCAGUUACAAUACCAUAGCCCUCAAAUUCAAGGUGAUUUGUAUGGAGUACUAACUUCAAGGCUAUAUCUUGACCAGAGAUUUCUGCCAUGUACUGAAAGUGUCUUUUUAUUGAGCUAAAGUCGGUAAUUGCAAUAUGAUGAUGCGAAUAACAUCUUCAAGUUCAAGAUGUUUCCUGAUUACAAUAGAUACUGCACUGAGGUCAAAGAAAAAGUCACCAAAAUUUAUAAUUCUUUCUUCAUAAAUGCUACGCACUGCUCAUUUAUAUGACCCUACAUGAAUGAAAUCAUAUACAACUACUUUACCUUUCUAAAAAUCAUGCCACCGCAUGAUAGUGCCUUAUAAAUAAUUCAAAUUUAUGUAACCUUCACCUCCUUCAAGACAAGGUUCCCCUAGCUAAAGCUAGUUAACUAGCAUCAAGAAUUAUACCAGUUCAAAAAAUGGCCAAGGCUAGUGAUCUUCUUCUGAUACUAGUGCUUCUUUUGUCUCUGAUGUUUCAAUGUAAAGUGGCUACCAGGAUUGGCAUGGAUUGUGCUCUUGCUUGUCAGGUUGAAAGAAGAGGAACAGAAAAGCAUGUAGACAUGGAAGAUGAUUCAGGAGAUGAAGCUGGACAAGGAGAUUAUGACUACUAUAGAAGGUAUGGUGAUGUUCCAAGCCCUGGUGUUGGCCACUGAAGUCAGAGUUGAGCUCUUGAUUUUCCCCUUGCAGCUGCUACUUUUUUUCUUCUCUCCUAUACAUAUGUUUUUAUGUUACUGUGUUAAUUCUCUUCUUCAUUAUGUUCUGCAUACAUCUAUUUUUUUCCCUUUAUUUUUCCGGUGUUAAUAAAUAAGUAUUUUAGUAA